UAUCAGCUCUUGGUUAUAAAUAUUUACAUAUAGUUAAAAUAUUGAAAUGAUGAUUGUAAUAUAUUUCUAUGUAAUAUAAAUUUGUUUUGAGCUCAGACAGUGCCGUUUUGCAUUGCUGAGGGAGCAGAGGUGCAGAAAACAAAUGUCCAGAAGGCACAUUGAAUGUUCUUUUGUCUUCUGCAGGAAAUAAAAGCUGGAAAACAGUCAAAGUCUGGUUUUCUUCACUCCCCUGACCACAUCCGUUACACUCGGCAGAAGUGGACUCUAAUGAUGAUGACUUCAGUCCUGUCUGACCCUGACAGCUGGCUUGUUUGUUUCUCCUGGUUCAUGAUACCUGAACAUCGUCACUGCUUUACAGGAGGUGGAGGUCGGAGCAGGCCGUGCAUGAAUGAGGACGGCGGUGGUUGAGGGACAACACAGUCCGAUGGUGGUGGCUGGGCAUCAGGGAAAUGUAGAAAUGAAACCAAGAAACCAGUUGCAUCUUGCAACCAACUUUAAUCCAGCAGAGACCUUUAAAACCAAGUGUCUGUCCCCAGACCAACAGCAACACUUGACAUAUUUGCUGUUAGACAUGUACCUACUCAUGUGGGAACUUUUUGUUCAUCUAAUCCCAGCACAUUCAUACAUCCCGAUGUUAAAUCCUUCGUUCGGGAUCCUUUUAGCAACUGUUCAUUUGAUACCACUUACUCUAAUAAAUAUUUGCGUACAUUCA